GGGAGGAGCUUUGGAAAUCCGCUUGGGGUCGGAGGGUGCAGAGCCGUUCCGCGCUCGCUUCAGACCCGCACCCCCCGGUGGCUGCUGAAUUCCUGCGGGAAUCCGGCUUGCCGUGUCCUGCGGGGUUGGGGGGCCCGGCGCCGCCGCCGCCCGGACGGCCGUUCCCCAGGCCCCCGCGCUUCUCCCCGCGCUCCGAUCAGGGCUUCGGGUACACAUUCUCCAAGCUCCCCCCAGCCCGGAGUCUUCUCCAGGGUCACGUCAGCUCCCUCCUGGAUUCUUCGAUAGGAUGCCCAGACAUCGCCUCCAACCCCCGUGUGGCAAGCGGCUUAGUACCAUACCGGAUGGUGCAUCUGAACAAGGGCAGAACCCAUGUUGAUCUUGCCUGACCUCCUCUCCCCGGCAAGGAGCACAUCGCUUGGCACACGGCUUUCAGAACAGUUCCUGACACCCACGCUCCACUGCACGUGGAAUCCCCCAGCCUCGAGGGCCGACUCUCCUCUUCUAGGGAGGUGGUCUGUCUCCCCAUAACUGGUCUGGCAGCGUCCUGGGUCCAGGGCCAUGACAUAUGCAUUUGGAUGUCCCUCAGCCCAGAGCUUGCACUGACUGGUGUUUGGUAAUUGCCUCUAAGUGCAUCCCAGUUGCUGUGAGGCCACGAGUGAUUCUAGGCAGUUGGUCUCUGGGAUAUCCCCUCUGUCCUCCCCAAAUUCACAUGUUGAAGUCCCUAAUCCCUGGUUCCUCAGAAUGUGACUGCAUUGAGAG